rnacentral:rRNA from 1 species
UGAGCAACCUGCCCUUGACUCUGGAAUAACAGCUGGAAACAGCUGCUAAUACCGGAUACGACCUCCGACGGCAUCAUCUGGAGGUGGAAAGCUCCGACGGUCAAGGAUGGGCUCGCGGCCUAUCAGCUUGUUGGUGUGGGUAAUGGCCCACCAAGGCGACGACGGGUAGCCGGCCUGAGAGGGUGACCCGGCCACACGUGGGACUGAGACACGGCCCAGACCUCCGUAGGGACG